GCUCGAGUGGCUAACGGGUGAGUAACACGUGAGUAACCUGCCCUUGACUUUGGGAUAACUUCAGGAAACUGGGGCUAAUACCGGAUAGGAGCUCCUGCUGCAUGGUGGGGGUUGGAAAGUUUCGGCGGUUGGGGAUGGACUCGCGGCUUAUCAGCUUGUUGGUGGGGUAGUGGCUUACCAAGGCUUUGACGGGUAGCCGGCCUGAGAGGGUGACCGGCCACAUUGGGACUGAGAUACGGCCCAG
rnacentral:rRNA from 1 species